rnacentral:rRNA from 1 species
AUUGGAAGGGGUGUAUUUAUUAGAUUAAAAACCAAUGCCCUUCGGGGCUAACUGGUGAAUCAUGAUAACCUCACGAAUCGCAUGGCCUUGCGCUGGCGAUGGUUCAUUCAAAUUUCUGCCCUAUCAACUUUCGACGGCUGGGUCUUGGCCAGCCAUGGUGACAACGGGUAACGGAGGGUUAGGGCUCGACCCCGGAGAAGGAGCCUGAGAAACGGCUACUACAUCCAAGGAAGGCAGCAGGCGCGCAAAUUACCCAAUCCCGACACGGGGAGGUAGUGACAAUAAAUACUGAUACAGGGCUCUUUUGGGUCUUGUAAUUGGAAUGAGUACAAUUUAAAUCCCUUAACGAGGAACAAUUGGAGGGCAAGUCUGGUGCCAGCAGCCGCGGUAAUUCCAGCUCCAAUAGCGUAUAUUAAAGUUGUUGAGGUUAAAAAGCUCGUAGUUGAACCUUGGGCCCGGCCCGUCGGUCCGCCUCACCGCGUGCACUGACUGGGUCGAGCCUUUUUUUCUGGAGAACCGCAUGCCCUUCACUGGGUGUGCCGGGGAACCAGGACUUUUAC